rnacentral:sRNA from 1 species
AUCAUCCCUUCCCAGCGACCAGUACCCGGAUCCCGUGACUCCAGAGAAAUGUCACAAUCAACGAGCCAAAUAACUAUUCCAAGCUAUAAAGGUUAGGUGAGAAAGGGCAAUGGAAUGCCUGGAAAUUCUGCGAGCGAUUUCUUCUUUUGGUCUGGGUUCUUGUCUUGUGUAAGUUUAUUCCCGCCACCAUUGUGUGCGCCGGCGAGGGACUAGACUAUAAAAAUAAAAUAACAUAAAAUAAAAUAAACUCAAAUCCAAACAUAUUUUGCCUUCUUGAAACCCGAACCGGGGGCGGGGGAUGGCCGAAACCUCGAGGCCGAUUGUUUUUAUGUUUAUUCUUUAGUUAACUAUUGACUAACGAGUUAACUAGUUGCUAGUGGGUGUUGAUUAGCAUGGGUUGAGAGAAGAGAAAGCCCAAUUUUCAAGUUGUUUCUUCAAAACUUCAAACUGGAGCAUCUGUGUUAAGAGAAACUACUCCCUGAAUACUUUUGCCACGAGUGAAGCCACUAACCGUGGCAUAAUUCACCAUCCGCUCUGAUAAAGUCGAUAUUAUUGAUGUCAAUAAGAACCAGCACAUAGUUCAGUAAUUCAGUAAUAUCACCUGAUAUAAAAAGUAUCUCAACCAUCUCUACCCUUUUUGCCUGUUACGAAUUUUUGCUCCAAAGGGAAAUCCUCUUAACCGCGACAAAAAUGCUUAGAGCCUCCUUAUAUAUCAUAUGAUUCCCGAGGGCCUCUGUGACAUAACGGACAUUGAAUGUUUCAUAUGAUACGAGCAGCAGCAUACGGGCAGUACACGGGGAUCUUCCGUGGCAUGAUGAUAUCCGUGCCAUCGUGGUCUUUGUCCGGGGUCCUAACUUUCUAAAUGGUCUCUAUGACAUGAUGACAGUGUCUAGGGACGCCCGUGGGUGCCAUGAUGGGGCUGCCUUUGGCAUGACAGAUAGAUGUCUUGAUACUUUGCAAAUCAUUCG